GACGAACGCUGGCGGCGUGCUUGACACAUGCAAGUCGAACGAUGAACCCGGAGCUUGCUCCGGUGGAUUAGUGGCGAACGGGUGAGUAACACGUGAGUAACCUGCCCUUGACUCUGGGAUAACUGCGGGAAACUGUAGCUAAUACCGGAUACGACCCUCGGCGGCAUCGCCAGAGGGUGGAAAGAAUUUCGGUCAAGGAUGGACUCGCGGCCUAUCAGCUAGUUGGUGAGGUAACGGCUCACCAAGGCGACGACGGGUAGCCGGCCUGAGAGGGUGACCGGCCACGCUGGGACUGAGACACGGCCCAGACUCCUACGAGAGGCAGCAGUGGGGAAUAUUGCACAAUGGGCGCAAGCCUGAUGCAGCAACGCCGCGUGAGGGAUGACGGCCUUCGGGUUGUAAACCUCUUUUAGUAGGGAAGAAGCGAAAGUGACGGUACCUGCAGAAAAAGCACCGGCUAACUACGUGCCAGCCGCCGCCGUAA
rnacentral:rRNA from 1 species